rnacentral:lncRNA from 1 species
GGCGCCGGCCUGCAGCGGAGUUACCGCCUGAGUCGGCUGUCUCAGCCUCCUCGCACGAGGUCCAGGGUGACCGCGCGCUGAAGCCAGAGCCACCGCGGGCCUCACCAGGGCCCGAUCCUGUCAGUGCAGGGGCAAGCCGCAAGGAGCAGCAAGACGUCCUGGGAAUCGAACUUAGCUGUCAAGCUUGGCCGUUUGAAUCGCAAGAUCAUCCUUGACUGCAUAUCCAGCUCAUGGCCAGCCUGGUGGUGUACUUAACUACCUUUGGAGUCAAGCAGCUGCCAUCUGGGGGAGUUCAGCUGUGUCCACUUACAAAAGAAUUACCUUAGCUGGACUUUUUGACCGUUUACAUCCCCUCACGGAAGACCCUCACCUGAGUAUCCACUGGCUCCCUAUAAUUUAUUGUGUGCAACUCUGCCUUAAUUGCACAUGGCUUGCCUGGAGGGCAGGGGUGGGGGGAGGAGACUAGAGUACUCAGAUUAAGAAAGACUAGGAGAGAGGUCUUUAUCUAAGCAGCUAUGGGAAAACCCUUACCCUGUUGGCCAAAUCUUUUUUUUUUUUUUUUUCUCUAGGCUGGCCUCGAACUCAGAGAUCUGCCUGCCUCUGCCUCCCAAGUGCUGGGAUCAAAGGCGUGUGCCACCACUGCCCAGCUGCUGUCCACUGGCCAAAUCUUUUCUGGUACCAUCCCAUCUCUGGAGGAAGGAGAACCCACUCUCCUGUAGGUACUCCUCACCUAUGCUCUGUAAGGAAGCCCAAUAAAUUCAUUGGUUCCCCCAAAUGAAGUAUGGCAGUAGACUCAUGCCCCGGUUUGUCACUGGAAUCUUAGGUGGAGGGGUAGACAUCAUUUAUGCCCCCUCCCAUGGAAUGCUAUCAGCACACAAGGGAUUUUUAUCAACACUGCAAUAAAGGAGACCCUGUCUCAAUCAAAACAGAACACAUCACAGAAGAAGGAGAUCAGAUGGCACUCCAAGGAUGACAGUACCCCGCCUCUCUGCUUCCUCUGUAGGCCAACUUGAGUGAAUACUGGUUCUUUAGAUCACUAACAUGCCAUGCUCCUGACUUGGCUCAGGGGUGAUUUUGAUGAUAACUUCUCUCUGUGGCAAGCACAGGAUACAGUGCCACAGUGCACUACACUGAUAACAGGGAUGGCUGUGAGGGAUCAACACAGCCACAUAGCUAACACAUUGGGGACAUGCCACACUCCCUCCCUCCUGCCACUCUCUGCUCACCUUUUCUUUCUCUCAUAUAUAUAUAUUUUUUCCAUCUCAAACAAAACUUUGGGCUGGAGAGAUGGCUCAGAGCAUAAGAGCACUGUCUGCUGUUCCAGAGGCCCUGAGUUCAAUUCCCAGCAACCACAUGGUGGCUCACAACCAUCUGGAAUAGGAGCUGGUGCCCCCUUCUGACAUGUAGGUAUACAUGCAGGCGGAACACUGUACACAUAAUAAAUAAAUCUUUUUAAAAAAGAAAGAAAGGGUUGGUGUGGUGGUUUCCAUGAGAGUGGCCCCCACAGGCUCAUCUACUUGAAUACUUUGUCCCCAGUUGGUAGAACUGUUUGAAAAGGAUUAGGAGGCUUGGCUGUCUUGGUUACUUUUCUAUUGCUAAGAAGAAAAACCAUGCCAAGUCAACUAGCAUAAGAAAGCAUUUAGCCAUUUAGUGGGGUUGGGGAUUUAGCUCAAUGGUAGAGCGCUUGCCUAGCAAGCACAAGGCCCUGGGUUCAGUCCUCAGGUCUGGAAAAAAAAAAAGAAAGAAAGCAUUUAGCUUGAUUACAGUUGCAGAGGGUGACUCCAUGGCUGUCACAGUUGGGAGCAAGGCAGCGGGCAGACACAACACUGGAGCAGCAGCUGAGACUUUGCAUUUGAGACACCAACCAUAAGUGGGGGUUGGGGAGAGCAAACGACCUGGAAAUGGAUUCUGGGAGCUUUUGCAAUCUCAAAGACCAUGUCUGUAAGACUCCACUGAACCUUAGCCACCAGGGACCCUAACCACGUGGAGCCAGGGAUCGAUGCAAAAGCAAGAGGAGUUUAUUGUUCCAUCCUGCACCCGAAGGAGAGGUGGUACCCCCAGGCAGCCUGUUUGGUGAGUUUUUAUACAGUUUCCAAGGGCAGAAUAGAGCAUCAGCAACUAGACACAAUGUGAUUGGCAAAGCAGUGUGACUUUUUUUUUUUUUCUUUUUUCGAGAGAGGGUUUCUCUGUGUAGCCCUGGCUGUCCUGGAACUCACUUUGUAGACCAGGCGGGCCUCGAACUCAGAAAUCCACCUGCCUCUGCCUCCCAAGUGCUGUAAUUAAAGGCAUGUGCCACCACACCCCAAUGCAGUGUGACUUUUAAACUGGUCCUUAGGGACCACCUAGGUAGCAAAUGCUUCCCUUAUCUGCAGGUGGCCAAUAGUUCCAUUCCCCCUGUGGUCUUUCUGAGGAAUAUAAAGAGCCUCUCCCCUCCAGAGGAGAUCCUGAGCUGAUCUCUUCAAGUCCAGUGACACACCUCCACCAACAUGGCCACACUGAAGUGGAAACUUGUAGUUUCUUUGGAAAGUUAGCUAUAUCAAAUGAUGUUUUGUUGGGGCUCAUAGGUAAAAGGAUGUCUUGCUAAAGCAGACACAUGAACAAAUGCUUUCCUGAAGUAGACCCAGGUGAAAGAAUGUUUUGCUGGGGCAGACAUGGUUGAAAGGGUGUUUGGAUAUAACAGACUCAAGAAAGGACCUGUGAUGAAGGAGUAUAUAUGACCCCACAGACAGUGGGAGAGGAGCACUGAAUGUUGGUUUGGUUUGCUCCGCCUCGCUAUUUAUUCUUCACUAAGGACACGCAUGUAUUGGUUUGCCUUACAUACCAUUGUUGAGCUCAACUUGUGGUAAUGCCGCCAUUGAGAGAAACUCGCCAAAGAACUGUUCGUGAGGUUCCAGAGUUAGCUUGCUGCUUCUGCUGCCUUGCCUCAGGCCAGUUGGUGAACCUUUCUGUUUCCUCAGAAUUGAACUAUAGCUCCUGGUUUGUGCCUGGUAUCUGCCUGCAGAAGGACUGGACUAUAACUGCUGGUUCCUGCCUGGUGUUGAAAGAAAAUGAAAUGUAAGACCAGUGAUCCAUGCAACUCAUGGCAAUUAGUCCAAAGAGUUGUUUGUGAGCUUAGAAGCCUGGAGCUGAGAACAUUGUGGAGCAGGCCAGGACAUGCCCAGACAGGCCCAUUGUUAAGACAUUCCUGAGGCUGCUUGGCCAUAAAGUUAAAGAGAAUGACAUGUCCUGACUGCCCUGACGCCUCCCUAUCUCCUGCCCUUCUGACAUGGGUUAAAUGUUAACCAGAUGCUCUGCUGUUACCUCAAUCUGCACAUACAGUCUGCUGAUGUUUAAAUGAACCAAUCAUGUGAAACCACGCCAAUUCCUCCCCAAACCCCAGAUCCUUUUCUAUAAAAACCCCUAGCUUUCGAGCCACGUGGCCGACAAACGUUGUCUCCUGUGUGAGAUACUUGUCGGUGCGGAGCUCCGUCAUUAAACUACCUUGUGUGUUUGCAUCAA